rnacentral:lncRNA from 1 species
CUCUCAGCUACUUUUCCAGCACCCUGUCUGCUUACAUGCCACCAUGUUUCCUGUCAUGAUGAUAAUGGACUAAACCUCUGAAACUGGUUCCUUGGGCCCCGAGGAGAGGAGUCUUAUGAAGACAUUGCCUUUAGGACUGAAUGUUCCAAGGCAGCAGACCUGUACAGGACACUACUGUAUUGAACCCUGCAGACAUCUGUGACAGGAAGAAAAAAAAAUCAAAUUCCUGUUGUCUGCUACAAACAAACUCUAUGGAAGACAACCUGGCAACACCUAGAAAAGCCACCAAUGUCUCAAGAAUCCUGCUGUCAAGGCAUUUCCCAAUUCAUACCCUAUGGCCUAGUCUCCCCGAUAGAUCUGGUAUCCUGCUCCAACCCGCUCCUUCUACUUCCCUGGGGGACCUCAGGCAAGUGAUUAGUUCUCAGUGCC